rnacentral:misc_RNA from 1 species
GUGGAUCACCCAGUGGCGGGGCAGGGCGCUGAUGCCGGUUAUGGAUAUCCCGGUUUCUGAAACCCCGCCAGUGGGUGACCAUG